CUGAACCAGCCAAGUAGCGUGAAGGAUGACUGCCCUAUGGGUUGUAAACUUCUUUUAUAUUAGAAUAAAGUGCAGUAUGUAUACUGUUUUGUAUGUAUUAUAUGAAUAAGGAUCGGCUAACUCCGUGCCAGCAGCCGCGGUAAUACGGAGGAUCCGAGCGUUAUCCGGAUUUAUUGGGUUUAAAGGGAGCGUAGGUGGACUGGUAAGUCAGUUGUGAAAGUUUGCGG
rnacentral:rRNA from 1 species